GACGGACCCCGCACAAGCGUGGAUCAUGUUGUUUAAUUCGAUGAUACGCGAAGAACCUUACCAGGUCUUGACAUCCCCCGCGAUGCUUUAGAGAUAAAGCGGAGGUAUUCGGGGAGACAGGUGGUGCAUGGUUGUCGUCAGCUCGUGUCGUGAGAUGUUGGUUAAGUCCCGCAACGAGCGCAACCCCUAUUGCUAGUUACCAUCAUUAAGUUGGGGACUCUAGCGAGACUGCCAGUGAUAAACUGGAGGAAGGUGGGGAUGACGUCAAAUCAUCAUGCCCCUUAUGACCUGGGCUACAAACGUGAUACAAUGGCUGGAACAAAGGGAUGCGAAGCAGUGAUGUGGAGCGAAACCCAUAAAAACAGUCUCAGUUCGGAUUGAAGUCUGCAACUCGACUUCAUGAAGUCGGAAUCGCUAGUAAUCGCGGAUCAGAACGCCGCGGUGAAUACGUUCUCGGGGUUU
rnacentral:rRNA from 1 species